CGGCAACAAAGAUGGAGGCAUCCAGUUCUGUUGCAGUACCGACGGAAAUCUGCCAAAGCACUUCCAAGAUAUGGCUCCAGACACAAAAGUGACGGACAGAUGGAAAGACGAACGGACCAAAAGAUGAAAGGAUGGACGGACGGACAAGGCCAAAACAAUAUCCCUCCGCCUAUAGCGGGGGAAAAUUAAACAGAAAUACGAGAGAAUAAUAAUUUUAUUGAUUUAAUUACACAAUGGUUUCAUGUGAAGCACCAGAACUGCAACUAUUUAAGAAAUAAUGAUUUGAAGUAAAUACGAGUAUGUACAUAAUUUAAGGCCAAGCCCAAGGCAGAAUAAUCGUCCAAUUGUAAGGUUGUCCAACGAGAGCUGUGUUUGGUUCAUUCACUUCUCUGUUAUUGACACUGUUUGAGUACUCUAUCGGCUACAGGUAGUUAGGGUGUAGGUCACGAUUCAGCUUUUUUUUUAGCUCACCUGAGCACAAUGUGCUCAUGGUGAGCUUUUGUGAUCGCCUUUUGUCUGUAGUGCGUCGUCCGUUGUGCGGCGUCAGCAUUUGCCUUGUUAACACUCUAGAGGCCACAUUUAUUGUCCAAUCUUCAUGACAUAUCGUCAGAAAAUUGGUCUCAAUAAUAUCUUGGAUGAGUUCGAAAAUGGUUACAAUUGCUUGGGCUGCCAAGGGGCGGGGCAUUUUUCCUUAUAUGGCUAUAGUAAAAUCUUGUUUACACUCUAGAGGCCACAUUUUAUAUAGUCAGAAGUCUGAACUUGGUCAGAAGAUUCAUCCCGAUAAUAUCUUAGAAGAAUUACAAAAAUGAUGCUGGUUGGUUGAAAAACAUGGCUGCUAGGGGGCGGGGCAUUUUUCCUUAUAUGGCUAUAGUAAAAUCUUGUUUACACUCUAGAGGCCACAUUUUAUAUAGUCAGAAGUCUGAACUUGGUCAGAAGAUUCAUCCCGAUAAUAUCUUAGAAGAAUUACAAAAAUGAUGCUGGUUGGUUGAAAAACAUGGCUGCCAGGGGGCGGGGCAUUUUUCCUUAUAUGGCUAUGGUAAAACCUUGAUAACACUCUAGAGGCCACAUUUAUUUUCUGAUGUUCAUGAAACUUGGUCAGAAGAUUUGUCCCAAUUAUAUCUUGUUAUUUCAGGUGAGCAACUUUGGGCCUUUCAGGCACUCUUGUUUAAAAACAUUGCAUGUUCUGUGCAUUUCCAAAAAGGAAAAACAUUUUGUCAUUUAAUAAGACCCAGUUCAUUCACUGCACAAUUUAUGAAGUUAUGACUUCUUAAAGGGGGCAACAUAAAAACAGCACCCUCCUAUUUUGCUCUUGAUCUUUCUUUACCUCAGAUGUGGAAGGACCUCAUAAACUUAUUUUGAAAGUUUGCGUUUCCUUAAACUUACUCUAUUUUUCACCAUUUAAAAAUUCAAGAACACAUAAUAAACUUAAAACAAUGUUUGCCCACAUGUUGGUCUGGCCCCGUAACAGUCCAUAUUCUUUCUCUACUGCUACCAAUGUUCUGCCAAGAGUGCAUUUUAUGUAUAAUCAUUUGAUAGUUAACUAUCUUAACACAAAAUUUAAAACUCGUAAUUAUCUUUAUGCAGGUAGGACUGCCUAAGGAUGGAUCAAACAAUAUUGGAGGUGCAAUUUGCGGCAUACCGAGGGACACUCAAUUACCCCCAUGGCAGGGCAGGACCCCCCCCCCUGGCCCCCAGUGAAUGCCGACUUGUUCUUUUCUGCAAUGAAGACUUGUUUAGGGACGUCUUGGCAUCUAAGUGCAGACUUUGAAGCAAAUGUGACAUCAACCCUCUAGACCGAUGAGAGAAACAACACUGAACUUAAAUUUCGGAUAUAACCCUGAACAAUUGUCAUCAAUCACAUGACAUGCUGCUCACCACUAGAGGAAGACCCCUAUUGAAUUUGGCUUUGAUUCCUCUAAGUGUUUCUGGCGGCUGGUGGAGCGAUUAAAGAAAAGCCAUGCUAAUGUUGCAAUGAUAUGUAUGCUAAACAAAAUAAAUAAAUUUAAAAAAA